rnacentral:miRNA from 1 species
UUAAGUAAGCAGAUUGUACACGCUUCUUAGUGUUUUAACACUAAGAAGCGUGUACAAUCUGCUUACUUAAA